rnacentral:rRNA from 1 species
AACGAACGCUGGCGGCAGGCCUAACACAUGCAAGUCGAGCGAAGUCUUCGGACUUAGCGGCGGACGGGUGAGUAACGCGUGGGAACGUGCCCUUUGGUUCGGAAUAGCCCCGGGAAACUGGGAGUAAUACCGGAUGAGCUCUACGGAGGAAAGAUUUAUCGCCAAAGGAUCGGCCCGCGUUGGAUUAGGUAGUUGGUGGGGUAAUGGCCUACCAAGCCGACGAUCCAUAGCUGGUUUGAGAGGAUGAUCAGCCACACUGGGACUGAGACACGGCCCAGACUCCUACGGGAGGCAGCAGUGGGGAAUCUUAGACAAUGGGGGAAACCCUGAUCUAGCCAUGCCGCGUGAUCGAUGAAGGCCUUAGGGUUGUAAAGAUCUUUCAGUGGGGAAGAUAAUGACUGUACCCACAGAAGAAGCCCCGGCUAACUCCGUGCCAGCAGCCGCAGUAA